GAUGAACGCUGGCGGCGUGCCUAAUACAUGCAAGUCGAACGAGUUCUCGUUGAUGAUCGGUGCUUGCACCGAGAUUCAACAUGGAACGAGUGGCGGACGGGUGAGUAACACGUGGGUAACCUGCCCUUAAGUGGGGGAUAACAUUUGGAAACAGAUGCUAAUACCGCAUAGAUCCAAGAACCGCAUGGUUCUUGGCUGAAAGAUGGCGUAAGCUAUCGCUUUUGGAUGGACCCGCGGCGUAUUAGCUAGUUGGUGAGGUAAUGGCUCACCAAGGCGAUGAUACGUAGCCGAACUGAGAGGUUGAUCGGCCACAUUGGGACUGAGACACGGCCCAAACUCCUACGGGAGGCAGCAGUAGGGAAUCUUCCACAAUGGACGCAAGUCUGAUGGAGCAACGCCGCGUGAGUGAAGAAGGCUUUCGGGUCGUAAAACUCUGUUGUUGGAGAAGAAUGGUCGGCAGAGUAACUGUUGUCGGCGUGACGGUAUCCAACCAGAAAGCCACGGCUAACUACGUGCCAGCAGCCGCGGUAAUACGUAGGUGGCAAGCGUUAUCCGGAUUUAUUGGGCGUAAAGCGAGCGCAGGCGGUUUUUUAAGUCUGAUGUGAAAGCCCUCGGCUUAACCGAGGAAGCGCAUCGGAAACUGGGUAAACUUGGAGUGCAGAAGAGGACAGUGGCAACUCCAUGUGUAGCGGUGCAAAUGCGUAGUAUAUAUGGUAAGGAACACCAGUGGCGAAGGCGGCUGUCUGGUCUGUAACUGACGCUGAGGCUCGAAAGCAUGGGUAGCGAACAGGGAUUAGCAUACCCUGGUAGUCCAUGCCGUAAACGAUGCAAUGCUAGGUGUUGGAGAGGUUUCCGCCCUUCAGUGCCGCAGCUAACGCAUUAAGCAUUCCGCCUGGGGAGUACGACCGCAAGGUUGAAACUCAAAGGAAUUGACGGGGGCCCGCACAAGCGGUGGAGCAUGUGGUUUAAUUCGAAGCAACGCGAAGAACCUUACCAGGUCUUGACAUCUUUUGAUCACCUGAGAGAUCAGGUUUCCCCUUCGGGGGCAAAAUGACAGGUGGUGCAUGGUUGUCGUCAGCUCGUGUCGUGAGAUGUUGGGUUAAGUCCCGCAACGAGCGCAACCCUUAUGACUAGUUGCCAGCAUUUAGUUGGGCACUCUAGUAAGACUGCCGGUGACAAACCGGAGGAAGGUGGGGAUGACGUCAAAUCAUCAUGCCCCUUAUGACCUGGGCUACACACGUGCUACAAUGGAUGGUACAACGAGUUGCGAGACCGCGAGGUCAAGCUAAUCUCUUAAAGCCAUUCUCAGUUCGGACUGUAGGCUGCAACUCGCCUACACGAAGUCGGAAUCGCUAGUAAUCGCGGAUCAGCACGCCGCGGUGAAUACGUUCCCGGGCCUUGUACACACCGCCCGUCACACCAUGAGAGUUUGUAACACCCGAAGCCGGUGGCGUAACCCUUUUAGGGAGCGAGCCGUCUAAGGUGGGACAAAUGAUUAGGGUG
rnacentral:rRNA from 1 species